rnacentral:rRNA from 1 species
UGUCGGUAAAACUCGUGCCAGCCGCCGCGGUUAUACGAGAGGCCCAAGUCAAUAAUUAGCGGCGUAAAGAGUGGUUAAAUAGAUCUGGUAUUAAAGUCGAAUCCCUUCUAGGCUGUUGUACGUUCACUGAGGGUGAGAAGCUCAACUACGAAAGUGGCUUUAUGUUCUUGAAUCCACGAAAGCUGAGGCACAAACUGGGAUUAGAUACCCCACUAUGA